CCUACGGGAGGCAGCAGUAGGGAAUCUUUCACAAUGGGCGAAAGCCUGAUGGACCAACGCCGCGUGCAGGAUGAAGGCCUUCGGGUUGUAAACUGCUUUUAUAAGCGAGAAAUAUGAUGGUAACUUAUGAAUAAUGAUUGGCUAACAUCGUGCCAGCAGCCGCGGUCAUACGUAGGAUCCGACCAUUAUCAGGAGUGACUGGGUGUAAAGAGUUGCGUAGGUGGCAUAAUAAGUAGCUAGUGAAAUCUGGUGGCUCAACCAUUCAGACUAUUAGCUAAACUGUUAAGCUCGAGACCGUUGGGGGUAACUGGAAUUUCUAGUGUAGGAGUGAAAUCCGUAGAUAUUAGAAAGAACACCGAUAGCGUAGGCAGGUUACUGGGACGGUUCUGACGUUGAGGCACGAAAGCGUGGGGAGCAAACAGGAUUAGAUACCCGGGUAGUC
rnacentral:rRNA from 1 species